rnacentral:rRNA from 1 species
CAGCCGCCACGGUAAUACGAAGGGUGCAAGCGUUAAUCGGAAUUACUGGGCGUAAAGCGUGCGUAGGCGGUGAGUUAAGUCUGUCGUGAAAGCCCUGGGCUCAACCUGGGAAUUGCGAUGGAUACUGGGCGACUAGAGUGCGGUAGAGGAUAGUGGAAUUUCCGGUGUAGCAGUGAAAUGCGUAGAGAUCGGAAGGAACAUCUGUGGCGAAGGCGACUAUCUGGGCCAACACUGACACUGAGACACGAAAGCGUGGGGAGCAAACAGGAUUAGAGACCCCUGUAGUCCCUGUCUCUUAUAA